rfam:Oryza glumipatula chromosome 3, whole genome shotgun sequence.
AAAAAGACAAAUCCUGGUUUCCGUGUCCAACGUUUGACCGUCCGUCUUAUUUAAAAAAAUUAUAAAAAAAUUAAAAAGAUAAAUCAUGCAUAAAGUAUUAAUCAUGUUUUAUUAUCUAACAAUAAUGAAAAUACUAAUUAUAAAAAAAAUUUAUAUAAGACGGACAGUUAAACGUUGGCACAGAAACCUGCGGUUUGUCUUUUU